AUGAAGACUAAGCAGCAGCAAGACAUUUCCAAAGAAGCAAAAUGGACAUGUGAAACAGAAUACCUAAAUGUAGAAGACAAUAAAUUUAGAGCGGUAGAGAUGUGGGAAAAUGCACAAGCGUUCAAAGAGAGAAGAAGUAGAAGUGAAAUCAUGAAGAAGAAGAAGAAAUAUUGGAGAAAAAGGAAAGAAUCACCAAGUGUACUUGUAGCAAAUGAAACCAGUCUCAAAGUCAGGAAUCAAUGCAUAAUGAUGUGGGGUGGGUCAGACUGUGACUUUGCUUUCAUAGAAUUAGAAGGAAGGUCAGGAUGA